rnacentral:rRNA from 1 species
GAGUUUGAUCGUGGCUCAGAACGAACGCUGGCGGCAGGCCUAACACAUGCAAGUCGAACGCCCAGCAAUGGGAGUGGCGCACGGGUGCGUAACGCGUGGGAAUAUGCCCUUGACUACGGGACAACGUUUGGAAACGAACGCUAAUACCGUAUAAUGACUCCGGUCCAAAGAUUUAUCGGUCAAGGAUUAGCCCGCGUCAGAUUAGCUAGUUGGUGAGGUAACGGCUCACCAAGGCGACGAUCUGUAGCUGGUCUGAGAGGAUGAUCAGCCACACUGGAACUGAGACACGGUCCAGACUCCUACGGGAGGCAGCAGUGAGGAAUAUUGGACAAUGGGCGCAAGCCUGAUCCAGCCAUGCCGCGUGAGUGACGAAGGCCUUC